UACAAUAUUGUUAGCCCAACUAUACAGUUAUUUCACUUUUUAUAAUAGCGAAAAAUAACGACAUCAGAAACCUCAUUGGUGGCUACAACCCUGGUUCCUGCAACAGUUGCAAUUUGAAGAGAAGGAAACCACUUUACACGAAGAAGUUUUACUCCAGUAAACGAUAUGGAAGCCAGGUCAACAGAUUGCCGAGCUGGUUCGUCUAGACUGAACACAAAUGUCCAGAACCAGCUGACGUCCAGCCAGCCAGCACGUGAGUCUCCUAUGUAGUGCACUAUGUCGGGUGUCCGCCAUUUUGUAGCCUUGUCCGAAUUCUGUGUAAACGACUCAUUCCAUUCCCUACAUUUGUUCAAUACUUUUUACUCACAAUGCAAUCUGAUUUUGAGUGUACACUCGCUCACUCGUAUUUCCCAUGAUACAACACGAAUCAAUCGUCUGAUUAGAAUUAGCUGGAGGAGAAUGACCAUUAAUGCCACGAAUGUGUUAAAAUAAACUGAUUAAAUCAAUGUUAUAUAUAGCAGUAUUAUUUAAAAAAUAUCAAGGAAUUUUAUUAAACGUAAUUAAUCUAAUAGUUAAUAAACGUGGGAAACAUUUGUUUUGUUCUAUUUAUUAAAAACUAAUACAAUAGACGUGAAAUAUGAUGUGAAAAUGAACUUAACCAUUUAAAUAUACAAUCCAUAAGCCACACAUGUGUAAUACAAGCGUUAUUACGAAUUUCAGCGAAAGUGCACUGACACGCAGGAUAUAUUAGGACAGUCUCUGAAAUUAUUCACUCAAUUUCAUUCACUUCUUCGCCAUAUAGUGGACUAUUUAGGGAAUAGUGAACAAGUGAGCGAAGUGUUGGUCUGAUGUCUGAGGCUUUCUAUCCUACAACUAUUUUCUUUAA